GGGACGUGGUCAAGUGGCCCUUUGGAGAUUCUACGGCUUCGGAUCCCUACUGCAGGAUGCUCCACUGUGUCUGCCAGCCUCUAGCGUUUUGCUGAGGGGUAACCUCGGAAUGGCUAAAAAUAAGAACACUGGGAUGGCCCAGUCAUGCCCCAGGCAUUCCCGCACACGUGGUGGCAAAGGCAGGCGCGCAGACAAGAGUGCCCAGUCGGCUUGGUCAGAGUUCUUUACAGGUUCAUCUGCGUUGCUCUAAAUGGGACUGUUUCAUUAUUUUGAUGGCUGAAGAAUAUUUCCUAGUGUAUGUAUAUGAGAGUUUCUUGAUCUCUUUAUCUGUGGAUGAACAGCUACUUUGAAAUAUAUGAUACAUUUGUGUUAAGGCUAGUCACGCUGCUGUGGAAUAGAAGGCCAGAAUUGAUCACUAUCAUCUGAGAGUAACUUUGUACCCAUCACUGAUUCCUUCCGAGACUGCCUCCACUUCCCCAGCAGCCUCUGAUUUCUUCAUGUGGCUGCAGAUGGCAGGAUUUCCCAAAGGUUUAUGGCUGCAACAUAUUCCGUGGUGUAUCUGUACAGCAGUUUCCUCAUUCCUGCAGCUGUGUUUGAACAGGUCAUUUACCAUGCGGUCCUCCAGGUUCAACAGUAUGGCUCCAAAUGAUGAAAUUUCAUUCUGAUUUUCUGGCUGAAGACUAUUCUGUUUGUGUAUGUCCACCACAGUUACUUUAUCCCUUCAUCUGUGGAUGGGCAGUUGGUUGGCAGAGAAUUUGAACUGGAGAUGAACUUUAUUAUCCAGGAUGCUGAGAGUAUAACAUGCAUGACAGAGCUUUUAGAGCACUGUGAUGUAACAUGUCAAGCAGAAAUAGGGAGCAUGUUUACAGCCAUUCUAUGAAAAAGUGUUCGGAAUGUACAGACUAGCACAGAAGCUGGACUAAUUGAACAAGUAUUGCUGAAAAUGAGUGCUGUAGAUGACAUGAUAGCAGGUAUGGGGUUGUCUGUCAGGAAAGUAUAACUUAAAUGUUUAUAAAGUUUCACAUACUUCUCUUUAUAUUCUAUAGGUAAUGUAGAUUUGUUGACACUGCUUUGAUUUAAAAUAAAUGGAAAUGUAUAGAAAUUUUACUUUUUAUAUUAAUGGAAAACCUGAAAAGUGAAAGAAGAAAAACAUAAUUAUUAUAGUAGACAAACAUAAUUACUAACGUUGUUUUCUAAAUUUUAGAAAAUCUCAGUACCACGGAGUGCUAUGAAGUCUAUCAGAAAAAUAAACAGUAUCUUUUUAUGUAGUAUUUCAUUCAGCUUUUACAUAAUUAAAAUGCCACAAUAGGUAUUACAGUUCUGUAUAAUGAGCAUUUCACCAAAUUCCCCUAGUUCUGUGCCCCUCAA
ensembl:lncRNA C2orf27A chromosome 2 open reading frame 27A